AUACGGAGGAUGCGAGCGUUAUCCGGAUUUAUUGGGUUUAAAGGGAGCGUAGGUGGGAUAUUAAGUCAGCUGUGAAAGUUUGGGGCUCAACCUUAAAAUUGUAGUUGAUACUGGUUUCCUUGCGUACGGUACAGGUGGGCGGAAUUAGUGGUGUAGCGGUGAAAUGCUUAGAUAUCACGAAGAACUCCGAUAGAGAAGGCAGCUCACCGGGCCGGAACUGACACUGAUGCUCGAAAGUGCGGGUAUCAAACAGGAUUAGAUACCCUGGUAGUCCGCACAGUAAACGAUGAAUACUCGCUGUUUGCGAUACACGGUAAGCGGCCAAGCGAAAGCGUUAAGUAUUCCACCUGGGGAGUACGCCGUCAACGGUGAAACUCAAAUGAAUCGACGGGG
rnacentral:rRNA from 1 species